GAGAAAUCCUUUUUUCUGGGGUUCCCCAUUUGUUAUUUUAUUAGCUACUUACUUUGCAAGGUGAGGAGCUUUGAUCUUUGAAAUUUUGGUAAUUAUGUCCCCUUGGAGUCCCUUAGAGGAUGGGGGUUUCCUCUCUCUCUGUGUUGGUGGAAUUAUAUUAUUUCAAAUUCCUAUUCCCUGAUUAAGAAAAAUUUUGGAUUUAUCAGCGAUUUGCUGGAUUUGAAGAGUUGUAUAUAUAGAGGUUCCUUCUAUGAGUCUUGUAUAUGUUCCAGUAGUUAUCCAUUUUGCUGUUCAAGUCAUGACUAGACCACCAAGUUAUU
rnacentral:misc_RNA from 1 species